UUUGUGCGUGAGCGUGUAGUUCUGCAGCAGCAGCGGAGAAAAAAAAACGUGCGAAAAUUUUGAAAACAACGCGACUAUGUGCCAGCAAAAUCCAUGGAUGAGAAAUUCUUCCGGUAGUUCCGGCAUCGCAAGGACAAGACCUGCAGCUGAAGAAGGAUCUUGUUGUUCCUCCACCGCUGGAGGAAAACAUCAGAAAAAUGAAGACUACCUAAUGUCCGCAUCCGCCAGUUACGAGACGAGGAAGUUAGCUGGACUGAAACGAAAAAGUCAGCGGUCUCCAACAAUAAACGCUUUUUUAUGGUCCCACUGGAAGCAACCUCGGAAAAAUCCCCACAACACACAGACUUAUUAGAUGAAGGCAACCGAAUCCAAGAAUCAUCAAAAGAAGAUGAUUCAUUCAUUAACCAUCAAACGAAUCCCGCUGACUUCACGUUUCAGGUUUCCCAACGGAUCAGAGCGACUAUUUGAUCAAAAAGUUUUUCCGUCUGGAUUAGCCGAAUUGCCCGAUGAUGGUUGAGGAAAAAUACGAAAAAUGUGUGUUGUGAUUGAAUAAAUAUGAAUAAAAUAUA